CUCUCUCUGGUUUCAUAUAGAAGACGACGAUGAUUCAACCACCUACCACCCUCCUCCAGCCGCCCCUACGCUGCCAUCAUCAUCGACUCUCCCUCCCACACAGACCACAAAAACCCUGGCGCCCCAACCCGAUCUGCAAACUCCACAACCCAUCUCUCCACAAAGGAUCUGGAAUUAGUAAUUGCAAAAAUUGCAGAUUUGGCGAACCCGGCACUCCUUCCUUUCUCAUCGCCAAAUUCACAGCUUCAUUCUUCUUCUAUUGUGUUAUUGUUCAUUCUUGGAUGUGCUAUAACUGGAGGAUGGUGAAAUAGAUCGGAAAAUAGUACGGGAUAGGAAAUAUGUUGUUUAUAUUUCUCUCUCUUUGAUGGUUGUGUGAAAUGGAUUAUGAUUUGCAUGAAAACAAUAACAGAGGCUGUUAGGAUUUGGCCUAAUGGGAUACUGAAAUGAAUUAGAUGCUUUCUCUUUCCAUAAUUACCUUGCAUAUAUGAUGAACUAACUAAAAUAAUGUUGAAAAAGAUGGGACCUUGGCAAGAAUGUUGAAGCCCAGAAAUCUGGGACUUCGGCGAAGGGAAGAUAACAAUGGGGAGUAGUAGAUGGCAGUGAAAGGAACAUAAAGGGUCAAGCCUUGAAGAAACACAGUGAGUUCGCCAUUCACAAAGGGCUUUAGCAACAGCCAACGCUCAAUGAACGCCAUGUCGUAUUUUGGCUUGGUCUUCUUCUUCUGGUCUAUGAUGAAGCUCAGAUGAUCUGAUCCAAGGGAGGUGAGAAGCUGGGAGAGAAAUAGAGGGAGGAAGAGAAUUUUAAUUUUAAUUUUUGAGAUUAUAUUAUUUGGGUUUAUUAUUUGUUAAUUUUUAAUUUUGA